GGCUGUAUAGUGUAGGGGUUAUCACAUCAGAUUUUGAUUCUGGGAACCCCGGUUCUUUUCCACAUUCAAUUA